rfam:Brassica napus, WGS project CCCW01000000 data, contig: 381
GCGUCUGUAGUCUAAUUGCCUUCCAAGCAAUAGAUCCGGGUUUGACUCCCGGCAAACGCA